rnacentral:rRNA from 1 species
CCAGCAGCCGCGGUAAUACGGGAGUGGCAAGCGUUAUCCGGAAUUAUUGGGCGUAAAGCGUCCGCAGGCGGCCCUUCAAGUCUGCUGUUAAAACGUGGAGCUUAACUCCAUCAUGGCAGUGGAAACUGUUGGGCUUGAGUGUGGUAGGGGCAGAGGGAAUUCCCGGUGUAGCGGUGAAAUGCGUAGAUAUCGGGAAGAACACCAGUGGCGAAGGCGCUCUGCUGGGCCAUAACUGACGCUCAUGGACGAAAGCCAGGGGAGCGAAAGGGAUUAGAUACCCCUGUAGUCCUGGCCGUAAACGAUGAACACUAGGUGUCGGGGGAAUCGACCCCCUCGGUGUCGUAGCCAACGCGUUAAGUGUUCCGCCUGGGGAGUACGCACGCAAGUGUGAAACUCAAAGGAAUUGACGGGGGCCCGCACAAGCGGUGGAGUAUGUGGUUUAAUUCGAUGCAACGCGAAGAACCUUACCAGGGUUUGACAUCCUGCGAACCUCUUGGAAACGAGAGGGUGCCUUCGGGAACGCAGUGACAGGUGGUGCAUGGCUGUCGUCAGCUCGUGUCGUGAGAUGUUGGGUUAAGUCCCGCAACGAGCGCAACCCACGUCUUUAGUUGCCAGCAUUUAGUUGGGCACUCUAGAGAGACCGCCGGUGAUAAACCGGAGGAAGGUGUGGAUGACGUCAAGUCAUCAUGCCCCUUACAUCCUGGGCUACACACGUACUACAAUGCUACGGACAAAGAGCAGCAAGUUCGCGAGGACAAGCAAAUCUCAUAAACCGUGGCUCAGUUCAGAUCGUAGGCUGCAACUCGCCUACGUGAAGGAGGAAUCGCUAGUAAUCGCAGGUCAGCAUACUGCGGUGAAUACGUUCCCGGGCCUUGUACACACCGCCCGUCACACCAUGGAAGUUGGCCACGCCCGAAGCCGUUACUCCAACCCUUGUGGAGGAGGACGUCGAAGGUGGGGCUGAUGACUGGGGUG